GGAGCAGUGAAUUCCAGGUGGCCAGAGGUGAGAGAUGUUAAGCACCAACCUGAUGACUUGCAGGAGCACAAAUGACUCAGAAGCCACUGCCUCACUAAAAGACUCAUCUCAACAUAGGUGACAGUCCAAGAACUCCAGCCCUGGAACUUUCUGCACAGCUUGCAGGAUUACUGGGAGUCCCGUGUUUGCUCUGCUACAGGGCUCAGGCCGCUCAGGGAGGUGGGACACGGAAAGUUUGACUGCACUGACCCCAGCCACUGCCGUUUGCCGGGCAGGUGUUGGAAGCUUCGGAACACCGCUCCAGGGCCUGGAGCUCAUCAACUGGGCUAGACUGGCUGGCCAGUUAGCCCCGAGGGAUCCUCUGGUUUCUGCCUCCUCAGUGCGGGAAUUGCAACUCUGUGUCACCCUUCCUGGUAUUUUGAGUGAGUUCUGGAGCUCAACUCAACUCAGGUGCUUACGCUUGCAAGCACCUGCUUUCCUGACUGAACGAUAUAUCCGCCUGGGCCGCUUUGCUUCUGUAACAGCGGGGCCAAUGGCAGAGCACAGACAAAAAUGAUCUGUUUGGAAAAGGAUGUUUGGGAGUAGGCUUAGGGUUCAGGGUUUGUUUGUUUGUUUGUUUCUUUGUUUAUGUGAGUCCUUGCCUUUAUUUCCUAGAGAGAUGGAUAAUGAAUUUAUAAAUAAAAUCUGGUUCCAUAACUUA